CACACACACUCACUCACUGACACACACUCACUGACAAACACAUACUCACACUCACUCCUGACACACACACACACUCACUCACUCACUGACACACACACUCACUCACAUUUACUGUCACUGCAAUAAGAACACACAUUAAGGUGACCACCCAGCCUCCCUACCUGGAGCUGGAGGGCUUCGCAUUUCCCUGGGGUCCAGUGGGGCUUCA